AUUGAACGCUGGCGGCGUGCCUAAUACAUGCAAGUCGAGCGAAUGGAUUAAGAGCUUGCUCUUAUGAAGUUAGCGGCGGACGGGUGAGUAACACGUGGGUAACCUGCCCAUAAGACUGGGAUAACUCCGGGAAACCGGGGCUAAUACCGGAUAACAUUUUGAACCGCAUGGUUCGAAAUUGAAAGGCGGCUUCGGCUGUCACUUAUGGAUGGACCCGCGUCGCAUUAGCUAGUUGGUGAGGUAACGGCUCACCAAGGCAACGAUGCGUAGCCGACCUGAGAGGGUGAUCGGCCACACUGGGACUGGGACACGGCCCAGACUCCUACGGGAGGCAGCAGUAGGGAAUCUUCCGCAAUGGACGAAAGUCUGACGGAGCAACGCCGCGCGAGUGAUGAAGGCUUUCGGGUCGUAAAACUCCGUUGUUAGGGAAGAACAAGUGCUAGUUGAAUAAGCUGGCACCUUGACGGUACCUAACCAGAAAGCCACGGCCAACUACGUGCCAGCCGCCGCGGUAA
rnacentral:rRNA from 1 species